UUUCUAUGAGUCUAGUUACUAGGCAGUGUAGUUAGCUGAUUGCUAAUAGUACCAAUCACUAACCACACGGCCAGGUAAAAAGA
rnacentral:pre_miRNA from 1 species